rnacentral:rRNA from 1 species
GACGAACGCUGGCGGCGUGCUUAACACAUGCAAGUCGAACGGUAAGGCUCCAGCUUGCUGGGGUACACGAGUGGCGAACGGGUGAGUAACACGUGGGUGACCUGCCCUGCACUUCGGGAUAAGCCUGGGAAACUGGGUCUAAUACCGGAUAGGACCGCACCGUGAGGGUGUGGUGGAAAGUUUUUUCGGUGUGGGAUGGGCCCGCGGCCUAUCAGCUUGUUGGUGGGGUAAUGGCCUACCAAGGCGGCGACGGGUAGCCGGCCUGAGAGGGUGGACGGCCACAUUGGGACUGAGACACGGCCCAGACUCCUACGGGAGGCAGCAGUGGGGAAUAUUGCACAAUGGGCGGAAGCCUGAUGCAGCGACGCCGCGUGGGGGAUGACGGCCUUCGGGUUGUAAACUCCUUUCACCAUCGACGAAGGGUUUCUGACGGUAGAUGGAGAAGAAGCACCGGCUAACUACGUGCCAGCAGCCGCGGUAAUACGUAGGGUGCGAGCGUUGUCCGGAAUUACUGGGCGUAAAGAGCUCGUAGGUGGUUUGUCGCGUCGUCUGUGAAAUUCCGGGGCUUAACUCCGGGCGUGCAGGCGAUACGGGCAUAACUUGAGUACUGUAGGGGAGACUGGAAUUCCUGGUGUAGCGGUGAAAUGCGCAGAUAUCAGGAGGAACACCGGUGGCGAAGGCGGGUCUCUGGGCAGUAACUGACGCUGAGGAGCGAAAGCAUGGGGAGCGAACAGGAUUAGAUACCCUGGUAGUCCAUGCCGUAAACGGUGGGCGCUAGGUGUGGGUUUCCUUCCACGGGAUCCGUGCCGUAGCUAACGCAUUAAGCGCCCCGCCUGGGGAGUACGGCCGCAAGGCUAAAACUCAAAGGAAUUGACGGGGGCCCGCACAAGCGGCGGAGCAUGUGGAUUAAUUCGAUGCAACGCGAAGAACCUUACCUGGGCUUGACAUAUACAGGAUCGCGCCAGAGAUGGUGUUUCCCUUGUGGCUUGUAUACAGGUGGUACAUGGUUGUCGUCAGCUCGUGUCGUGAGAUGUUGGGUUAAGUCCCGCAACGAGCGCAACCCUUGUCUUAUGUUGCCAGCACGUUGUGGUGGGGACUCGUAAGAAACUGCCGGGGUUAACUCGGAGGAAGGUGGGGAUGACGUCAAAUCAUCAUGCCCCUUAUGUCCAGGGCUUCACACAUGCUACAAUGGUCGGUACAGUGGGUUGCCAGUCCGUGAGGGCGAGCUAAUCCCGCAAAGCCGGUCUCAGUUCGGAUCGGGGUCUGCAACUCGACCCCGUGAAGUCGGAGUCGCUAGUAAUCGCAGAUCAGCAACGCUGCGGUGAAUACGUUCCCGGGCCU